GGCUAACAUGAUGUAUACGUCCCCAGUCUUGAAGACCUAGGACCUCUCUAGCUCUUCAUGGAUGGCAUGAGCCAAGGAAUUGGUCUCAUACCUGAUAUUAUCAGGACUCAUACCUGAUGUUAUCUUCUGUUUUAUGUUUUAUUCAACAUCAAAAUGAGAACUCAGAAGCAUUACUUCUAAUGAAAGCCAGACAACUCUUCAUCAUGAGCAUUUUGGUCCAAGAAAUGCAAGUAAGGACAGAGAUUAGGAGAAAUAGAAAUGGGUGAAGUGAGUGAAAUCAAGAUUCAGUAUUUGGAGCUGUGAGAGAAGAGUUAUGUCUUCAUUGGCCUGGAGAGAAAGGAGAUCCUGUUAAGGUCUUCUCUUCAAGCUAAUUCAAGAUCAUCAUUUGGGCUAUUCCCCUGAAGUCAAGCAUGAAAUCUAUUUAGCUGGAGAGCUACCCAUUUCCUCUGACCUGCAGAAGAGAUGCCCUGUUCUUUCAGAAUCGCUGGAAUGCCAGAAUCUGAAGAAAACUGGAGCCACAUGCCUGGGCCCCUUGAGAUCCUCCCAUCCCUACUCCAUGCCAAAGGAACAUGCUGACAGAAAUGCAGCGGACUUGCAGUGCUUGACCCAGAAGCACAGCUGCCGAUUCAUCGGCAGAGGUCAUUGUGUGACUUUAAGUUGCUAUGGAUUUAAGAGCGUCUCUUAUCAACUGGGGUAUUUAAAUCUCUUUUGUCCCUGGGACCUUUUGGGCAGUUUUGUAAAAACCUAUAGGC
ensembl:lncRNA